rnacentral:lncRNA from 1 species
CUUUUAUACAGAAGAAACCCACAAAUCAAUAAUAAUUUUAUAUUAACAUUUUAUUGAGUAAAUAUGAUGUGUUUAUUACUUUUUUAGACCUGUUAACUUUUAUUUGUGGUGCUGAUUCAAAGUGAUUACCAAAUUAAUCAUUGUUCGUGUUCAGCAUAUUUGCUCAUCAAUGCAAAAAUCUAAACAUUUUUCACAACCUAAUCCCAUAUCUCCAAGUGUUAAAAAUUAAAAAUUUAAUGACUACGUCACAGAACAGUGGGUUGAAAGAGAACCAGAACGAUGGAACCACUUCUGUACCGUAGGACCAAGGACAACAAAUCAUUUGGAAGGCUGGCACCAUAAACUCAACAACCAGUUAAACAAGGCUCAUCCUAGCCUGUUCCUCAUCAUACAGAAGCUUAGGAAUACACAGGCUGCCACAGAAAUUCGACUCAUCCAGUACGCCGCAGGGGGGAAACGCAAGACUCGCAAGUUAAAGUACCGAAACAUAGACAACAGACUGACCCCAACUUAAGGAGAGACUACAGCAAGGACAGAUCAACGUAAAUCACUACACUGAUGCAGUAUCCCACCUACUAAAACUUGGAUAAAGAUCAAAUGAACAUUCCUUUAGUGUGCUAUGAAUAUUUCUGUGCUACGUUUGUUAACCUUUUAAUAAAAAAAAUUUGUGAUGUGUAUAUCUAUAGUGGACAUUUCUUUAAUGCCAUUGUAUGUUUUGUGAAUCUACUGAACAUUCAUUUAGUCAUGGUGUGCGGUUGAUAUUACUGUGCCAGUAUUUUAUAUUCUUUGUUCUAGAAUUGCUUUUGCUUUUUUUUAUAUAUAUAUGCAUGCAUAUAUGUUUUGUGAACUUUGUUCUGUUCAGUCUCUGUGUAGUAAAAACGUAUUCAACUUAUAUUUUGUCUAUUUGGAUCAUUUGGACAGAAGAACAGAAAAAAA